CCUACGCGGUGCAGCAGUGAGGAAUAUUGGUCAAUGGGCGGAAGCCUGAACCAGCCAAGUAGCGUGCAGGAUGACGGCACUACGGGUUGUAAACUGCUUUUAUACGGGAAUAACGCGCCUUACGUGUAGGGCUUUGCAUGUACCGUAUGAAUAAGGACCGGCUAAUUCCGUGCCAGCCGCAGCGGUAAUACGGAAGGUCCGAGCGUUAUCCGGAUUGAUUGGGUUUAAAGGGAGCGUAGGCCGGAGGUCAAGAGUGCUGUGAAAGGUUCGGGCUCAACCCGGGGCGUGCAGCGCGAACUGGCGUGCUUGUGUCCGCGGAAAGCAGGCGGAAUUCGUCGUGUAGCGGUGAAAUGCUUAGAUAUGACGAAGAACCCCGAUUGCGAAGGCAGCUUGCUGCAGCGGAACUGACGCUGAUGCUCGAAAGCGCGGGUAUCGAACAGGAUUAGAUACCCGGGUAGUC
rnacentral:rRNA from 1 species